rnacentral:misc_RNA from 1 species
AACAUCGCGCACCUGCGGGAACCUGCGGAAGGAUCAUUACCGAGUGCGGGUCCCCUCGCGGGGCCCAACCUCCCACCCGUGUCUACCGUCACCUGUUGCUUCGGCGGGCCCGCCUUCGUGCCGCCGGGGGGCCCUCUGCGCCCCCGGGCCCGCGCCCGCCGAAGACUCUAGGAACACUGAAUGAAGGAUGCCGUCUGAGUCAAACGACACAAUCGUUAAAACUUUUAACAACGGAUCUCA